GCGGCGUGCCUAAUACAUGCAAGUCGAGCGAUGAGGCUCCUUCGGGAGUACAUCAGCGGCGAACGGGUGAGUAACACGUGGGUGACUUGCCCCGAAGAUGGGGAUAACCGCUGGAAACGGGGGCUAAUACCCAAUGUGCUCGGUGAUUCGGUUCAUCGAGUAAAGCUCCGGCGCUUCGGGAGAGGCCUGCGGCCCAUCAGCUAGUUGGUAGGGUAACGGCCUACCAAUGCAGAGACGGGUAGGGGGCGUGAGAGCGCGGACCCCCACACUGGCACUGAGAUACGGGCCAGACUCCUACGGGAGGCAGCAGUAAGGGAUAUUGCGCAAUGGACGAAAGUCAGACGCAGCGACGCCGCGUGGGCGAUGAAGGCCUUCGGGUUGUAAAGCCCUUUUAUGGGGGAAGAGAAAAAGGACGGUACCCAAGGAAUAAGUCCCGGCUAACUACGUGCCAGCAGCCGCGGUAAGACGUAGGGGACAAGCGUUAUCCGGAUUCACUGGGCGUAAAGAGCGUUGAGGCGGUUCCGUAAGUUGGGCGUGAAAGCUCCGGGCUUAACUCGGAGAUGUCGUUCAAUACUGCGGGGCUUGAGGACAGCAGAGGAAGGUGGAAUUCCCGGUGUAGUGGUGAAAUGCGUAGAUAUCGGGAGGAACACCCGUGGCGAAGGCGGCCUUCUGGGCUGUUCCUGACGCUGAAGGCGAAAGCUAGGGGAGCGAACGGGAUUAGAUACCCCGGUAGUCCUAGCUGUAAACGAUGGAUGCUGGGUGUGGGGGGUGUAAAUUCCCUCUGUGCCGAAGCAAACGCGUUAAGCAUCCCGCCUGGGGACUACGGCCGCAAAGGCUAAAACUCAAACGAAUUGACGGGGGCCCGCACAAAGCAGCGGAGCGUGUGGUUUAAUUCGAUGCUACACGAGGAACCUUACCUGGGUUUGACAUGCACGU
rnacentral:rRNA from 1 species